UCUCAUCCGUGAGCUGCUUCCAUGCUGGUUUUGUCAUUGGGAUUCAGGAUCUUUCCUGUGGACUACUUGUUAGCAUGUUGUGUUUGGAUGUGUACAUUUCUCCCUGCUUAAUUUUUCUUCUUUCAGUCCUUCAGCCACUCUGCAGUCCUGGAAUCUAUUGGCACUUUCACACAGGGACACAUGAAGGGGAUGAGUGGUGACUGCAUGAAGAUACUUCUAAUCCGAUUUAGAAGCAACAACAAGGCUGGAGAAGAGCUCAGGAGAGGCCCAGAGACAGGACUGGAGACCACAUUGGAAGGACAACCCUGCAAAUUUCUGGGGGAUGAGCAGUCCUGCAUCUCAUAAGUGGUAUUCCCCAGGGGUUCAUCUUGGGACCGGUACUCUUUAAUAUCUUUAUCAACAACAUAGACAGUGGGAUGGAGCGCACCCUCAGCAGUUUGCUGAUGACACCGAGCUGAGUGGUGCAGUUCAUACAACAGAAGGAAGGGACGCCAUCCAGAGGGCACUGCACAGGCUCAGAAAGUGGGCACGUGAGAACUGAAUGAAGUUUAACAAGGCCAAGUGAAAGGUGCUGCACAUGGGUCAGGGCAGUCCCAGACAUCUGGACAGAACGGAAAAGAACUCCAAAGCAAUCCUUUCCUCAGAGGGCGGUGAGGCGCUGGCACUGCUGCCCAGAGAGCUGUGGGUGCCCCAUCCCUGCAGGCACUCAAGGCCAGGUGGGAUGGGGCCCUGGGCAGCCUGAGCUGGUGGGGGGCAGCCCUGCCCAUGGCCAGGGAUUGGGAAUGGGUCAUCUUUAUUGUCCCCUCCAACCUGAGCCAGCCUAUGAUUCUAUGAGACUACAAUUUGCUCAUCCUACUGCUGUGGGUUGUUGGGGUCUUACCACGGGCUGCAGCAUUCAAUGCCAAGAACAGCUUUUAACAAAUUUAAGUUGAAUUCCAUUAAAUUAAAAAUACAUAAAGC
rnacentral:lncRNA from 1 species